GUUUGUAAGCAAGUCUGUUUUGUGUUAUUUACCAGGUCGUGGUAGUUCGCGCCCCGGGCUGCGGCGAGUGACGGCGGCGGCAGGCGGCCUUCCAUGCAGUGCAGCCAGCGACGCAGGCAUCUUAACUCGUGAGCUGUGUCUGGUUAACAAAAAAAGGGAGAAUAAAUAGUGAGACUAUGGUAAGGCCGCUCGAGUUGUUCGCAGCGGCCGCCAGGCGGCGCGGGCGCGCUCCUCAAAGAUGACAACGAGAAGC